rnacentral:rRNA from 1 species
CUUCAUUUAUAAUGCCCCCUUUAAUACACUUAUACACUUAUAUCUUAUCAGAUCUGAGAAGCUAUGCAGGGCUGGGCCUGGUUAGUACUUGGAUGGGAGACCACUGGGAAUACGAGGUGCCACAGUGGGGC